rnacentral:rRNA from 1 species
GACGUAGGGUGCGAGCGUUGUCCGGAUUUAUUGGGCGUAAAGAGCUCGUAGGCGGCUCGUCGCGUCGACCGUGAAAACUUGGGGCUUAACCCUAAGCUUGCGGUUGAUACGGGCGGGCUAGAGUUCGGUAGGGGAGACUGGAAUUCCUGGUGUAGCGGUGAAAUGCGUAGAUAUCGGAAGGUACAUCAGUGGCGAAAGCGGCUUCCUGGACCAGAACUGACGAUCAGGCUCGAAAGCGUGGGGAGCAAACAGG